CAGCACCUCAAGUGGUCAGGAUGAUUAUUGGGCCUAAAGCAUCCGUAGCCGGCGCUGUAAGUUUUCGGUUAAAUCUGUACGCUCAACGUACAGGCUGCCGGGAAUACUGCAGCGCUAGGGAGUGGGAGAGGUAGACGGUACUCGGUAGGAAGGGGUAAAAUCCUUUGAUCUAUUGAUGACCACCUGUGGCGAAGGCGGUCUACCAGAACACGUCCGACGGUGAGGGAUGAAAGCUGGGGGAGCAAACCGGAUUAGAGACCCGAGUAGUCA
rnacentral:rRNA from 1 species